GAGUUUGAUCAUGGCUCAGAUUGAACGCUGGCGGCAGGCUUAACACAUGCAAGUCGAACGGUAGCAGGAGAAAGCUUGCUUUCUUGCUGACGAGUGGCGGACGGGUGAGUAAUGCUUGGGAAUCUGGCUUAUGGAGGGGGAUAACUACUGGAAACGGUAGCUAAUACCGCGUAAUAUCGAGAGAUUAAAGACUGGGACCUACGGGCCAGUUGCCAUAAGAUGAGCCCAAGUGGGAUUAGGUAGUUGGUGGGGUAAAGGCCUACCAAGCCCGCGAUCUCUAGCUGGUCUGAGAGGAUGACCAGCCACACUGGAACUGAGACACGGUCCAGACUCCUACGGGAGGCAGCAGUGGGGAAUAUUGCACAAUGGGGGGAACCCUGAUGCAGCCAUGCCGCGUGAAUGAAGAAGGCCUUCGGGUUGUAAAGUUCUUUCGGUGGUGAGGAAGGUAUCAACUUUAAUAGAGUUGGUAAUGACGUUCCCGAAAG
rnacentral:rRNA from 1 species